rnacentral:rRNA from 1 species
GGAUGAGUGGCGAACGGGUGAGUAACACGUGGAAAAUCUGCCUAGGAGUGGGGGAUAACAUUUGGAAACGGAUGCUAAUACCGCAUAUCUUUUUGAACCGCAUGGUUCUUAAACGAAAGACGGCUUCGGCUGUCGCUCUUAGAUGAUCCCGCGGCGUAUUAGUUAGUUGGUGGGGUAAAGGCCUACCAAGACCAUGAUACGUAGCCGACCUGAGAGGGUGAUCGGCCACACUGGGACUGAGACACGGCCCAGACUCCUACGGGAGGCAGCAGUAGGGAAUCUUCCACAAUGGGUGAAAACCUGAUGGAGCAAUGCCGCGUGAAUGAAGAAGGUCUUCGGAUCGUAAAGUCCUGUUAUUAGAGAAGAACAAGUCAAGGAGUAACUGUCUUGACUUUGACGGUACCUAACCAGAAAGUCACGGCUAACUACGUGCCAGCAGCCGCGGUAAUACGUAGGUGACAAGCGUUGUCCGGAAUUAUUGGGCGUAAAGGGAGCGCAGGCGGUUGGAAUAGUCUGAUGUGAAAGCCCACGGCUUAACCGUGGAAGGUCAUUGGAAACUGUCCAACUUGAAUACAGAAGAGGUAAGUGGAAUUCCAAGUGUAGCGGUGAAAUGCGUAGAUAUUUGGAGGAACACCAGUGGCGAAGGCGACUUACUGGUCUGUAAUUGACGCUGAGGCUCGAAAGCGUGGGUAGCAAACAGGAUUAGAUACCCUGGUAGUCCACGCCGUAAACGAUGAGUGCUAAGUGUUAGGGGGUUUCCGCCCCUUAGUGCUGGAGUUAACGCAUAAGCCACUCCGCCU